UACGUAGGGUGCAAGCGUUGUCCGGAAUUAUUGGGCGUAAAGAGCUGUAGGCGGUUGUCGCGUCUGCUGUAGAAAUUUCGGGCCUCACCCGAACUUGCAGUGGGGUACGGGCAGACUAGAGUGUGGUAGGGGAGACUGGAAUUCCUGGUGUAGCGGUGAAAUGCGCAGAUAUCAGGAGGAACACCGAUGGCGAAGGCAGGUCUCUGGGCCAAUAACUGACGCUGAGAAGCGAAAGCUGGGGAGCGAACAGG
rnacentral:rRNA from 1 species